rnacentral:rRNA from 1 species
GAACAUGAGAGUUUGAUCCUGGCUCAGGAUGAACGCUGGCGGCGUGCCUAACACAUGCAAGUCGAACGAAGCGAUUAAGAUGAAGUUUUCGGAUGGAAUCUUGAUUGACUGAGUGGCGGACGGGUGAGUAACGCGUGGAU